rnacentral:tRNA from 1 species
CAAAAUGUAGCUUAACUUAAAGCCUUCCGCUUACACCGAAAAACUAUCUGUGAAACUCAGAUCAUUUUGAG